rnacentral:rRNA from 1 species
CCUACGGGAGGCAGCAGUAGGGAAUUUUCGUCAAUGGGCGCAAGCCUGAACGAGCAAUGCCGCGUGAACGAGGAAGGUCUUCGGAUCGUAAAGUUCUGUUGAAGGGGAAAAAGAGCGGAGAGAGGAAAUGCUUUCUGAUCGAUAUUACCCUUCGAGGAAGUCACGGCUAACUACGUGCCAGCAGCCGCGGUAAUACGUAGGUGGCGAGCGUUAUCCGGAAUGAUUGGGCGUAAGGGGUGCGUAGGCGGCCUGCUAAGCCUGGAGUGAAAGGUACCGGCUCAACCGGUACAGGCUCUGGAAACUGGCGGGCUAGAGGGCAGGAGAGGGCGGUGGAACUCCAUGUGUAGCGGUGAAAUGCGUAGAUAUAUGGAAGAACACCAGUGGCGAAGGCGGCCGCCUGGCCUGUUACUGACGUUGAGGCACGAAAGCGUGGGGAGCAAAUAGGAUUAGAUACCCCAGUAGUC